rnacentral:rRNA from 1 species
UACGAAGGGGGCUAGCGUUGUUCGGAAUUACUGGGCGUAAAGCGCACGUAGGCGGCUUGUUAAGUCAGGGGUGAAAUCCUGGAGCUCAACUCCAGAACUGCCUUCGAUACUGAGGAUCUCGAGUCCGGGAGAGGUGAGUGGGAACUCCGAGUGUAGAGGUGAAAUUCGUAGAUAUUCGGAAGAACACCAGUGGCGAAGGCGGCUCACUGGUCCGGUACUGACGCUGAGGUGCGGAAAGCGUGGGGAGCAAACAGG